CUACGGGGUGCUCCAGUGAGGAAUAUUGCACAAUGGGGGGAACCCUGAUGCAGCAACGCCGCGUGGAGGAUGACGCAUUUCGGUGUGUAAACUCCUUUUAUAUGUCAAGAAAAUGACGGUAGCAUAUGAAUAAGCACCGGCUAACUCCGUGCCAGCAGCCGCGGUAAUACGGAGGGUGCAAGCGUUACUCGGAAUCACUGGGCGUAAAGGACGCGUAGGCGGGUUGGAAAGUCAGGUGUGAAAUCCUACAGCUUAACUGUAGAACUGCACUUGAAACUUCUAAUCUAGAGUAUGGGAGGGGGAGAUGGAAUUAGUGGUGUAGGGGUAAAAUCCGUAGAUAUCACUAGGAAUACCUAAAGCGAAGGCGAUCUGCUGGAACAUAACUGACGCUAAGGCGUGAAAGCGUGGGGAGCAAACAGGAUUAGAUACCCCGGUAGUC
rnacentral:rRNA from 1 species